rnacentral:misc_RNA from 1 species
GAUGAAGAACGUAGCGAAAUGCGAUACGUAGUGUGAAUUGCAGAAUUCCGUGAACCAUCGAAUCUUUGAACGCAAAUUGCGCUCGAGGCCUCGGCUAAGGGCAUGUCUGGCUCAGCGUCGGCUUACUACCCUCAAUCAAUUACCUUGUGAUGAUUGGUUGGAGCUGGCUUUCCGGUGUUCCAAUCAGGUUGCCGGUCAGCUGAAAAACAUUCACGCUGUGGAAGUCGCUUUCCCUUCAAAAAGGAAAGCCGAGUUCCGAUUUGGUAGGUGACCUUUGCCGGUUGCAUGCCUUCGUUGCUCGUUUUGGCUUUCAUGAUAGCGUGUGCAGGACGCCAUUUUGGCUUUCGACCUGAGCUCAGGCAAGAACACCCGCUGAACUUAAGUAUAUCAAUAAGCGGAGGA